ensembl:lncRNA
AAAUGAUAGGACACAUUUUUGGUAUCCAUUUUCCAUAAUUUUGCAAAUGGCAAAAUAAGUUUCCUAUAAUGAAACUGGUAUAACAUUCUACAGCAUAAUGGAUAUACUAUUUCCUUUGGUUACCUGCAUGCCAACAAAUGGUGCCUUAUUGGUGGGGCGAAUCCAGGAGAGUGUGUAAGGAGGGUAAUGCGGGCAGUAGCCACCAACAAUGUAUGGAGCCACUGCAGCCUGCAUGGGAAGCCUAAGAAGCUGGCUCUGAUUAAAACAACAAUGGGCAAAGUUAUCACACGUGAUUCACAAUGAUUAGUUUACAAACAAUAGAGACAAAUGUGCUACAAAUUUGAAAAUGAAAUAAUGAAGCUACAGAUUGUCUUGACUUUCUACAAGUCCUUUCCGCAUUUUUUCUGAGGUUGUGGGUUCGAGUCUCGGUCCGGUAAUACCACGACUGAGGUGCCUUUGAGCAAGGCUCACUGCACAUUGGAUGGGUUAAAUGCAGACCACAAAUUCUGAGUAUGGGUCACCAUACUUGGCUGUAUGUCAUGUCACUUUCACUUUUUUUUUCUUUACUUUUUUUUUAACUGAAAUGGGAAUACUUUCUGUAAAGAUACUUUAAUUAGUAUGAUUUUUUAUAGUAUGACAAAGUAGUAUGAUUAAUGAAAUGAUAAGUGUAUACAUUGUAUUUAAAUUAUACACUUGACAUUUCUAUUUAAUUUAUACACAAUUGAACAUGUGAAUAAACACACUGAUAAAAACAAGCAUGAACAAAGUUCUGGCACUUAUACUGUAAUGACUGUGACCUCUGUUUAUUUAAUUCCAGAUGCCGUCAUGAAAUGGAAAGCUGGUCUUGGGGAGAAGGAGAUAGAAAGUUUAAUAGCAGAGACUCUUAAACAUGCGCCGGCGCACAUAAAUAAAAGUGUCGAGGGACAUGUAGAGGAGUGGACGGAGGAGUAGAUGUGGAGGAGAAAAUGGUUCAAUGUUCAAGCUUCUGAAGAAAACCUUCUUUGUUCGAUUUACAUGAUUAGAAACCUGUUCAUUUACAUGUUUAAAAACCUGUUUACCAUUUUGUUAUUUGUGAUUUAUCUAUAUCUGUAAUAAACAACAUGAAUUAAUCA